rnacentral:lncRNA from 10 species
CUGAAGUGCAGUGGGGUUAUCAUAGCUCAUUGCAACCUUGAACUCCCAGGUUCAAGCAAUCCUCCCAUCUCAGCCUCCUGAGUAGCAAAUACUACAGAUGAGAGAAUGAGAGAAGGAAGCUGCAGUGAGAAUCAAGCUUUGGAUCCGGGUUCCUUGGGGAGGCAAAGAAGAGCCGGAGUUGGAACUCCAGCCACCUGGCUCCCCAGCGUUGGAAUAUUUCCACUUCACCCUGAAUGAGGACGUUUAAGAAACGCUGAUCGACGCUUCCUGGUACAGCAGGAAGACAUGCCACCACCACCCUGUUCCUCUUGAGGAAACACAAAGGCCCCAGCUGUUGUUGAUGAGAAACACUCGCGCACCUGGGAAAAACCACACACUCAGGAUGUGAGGCAGGGAGAAGGGUUGGAUAGGGACAAGAGGUUGGAACUGGCUGCGUAGAGGGUGGAGACCCUAGAAUAUGUAUCCACUCAUUCCCUGACUCAUUCAUUUUCUCAUUCAUUCGUUCAUUCAUUCAUUCAUUUGUUCAUCAUCCCUGGACCCGAGGGCUCCUGUCCAUCAGGGCUGAGCUGGGAUCUAGGGGACACGGAAGUAAAUCAGACCCGUGCCUGUCCUUGAACAGCUCCGGCACCAGUGCGGAGAAGACCGACCCACAUGUCAAUCACAAUAUAGCCUUGCUGUGGCUUUAAGGAGCCAGUGCAGGCCUGGUGGGAGCACUGAUGUAGACCCUGAUGGAGGCUUGGGAGGUCAGGGAAGGCUUCCUGGAGGAAGGAGCGUGUAAGUUGAAUCUCAAGAGUGGAUAGUGCCAGGUGCAGUGGCUCUGUAAUCCCAGCAUUUUGGGAGGCUGAGGUGGGCGGAUCGCUUGAGCUCAGGAGUUUGAGACCAGCCUGGGCAACAUGACGAGACCCCCUUCUCUACCAAAAAUACAAAAAAAAAAAAAAAAAAAAAAAUAGCCGGGUGUGGUGGUGCUUGCCUGUGGUCUCAGCUACUGGGGAGGAAGAAGUGGGAGGAUGGCUUGAGCCUGGGAAGUCAAGGCUGCAGUGAACCAAGAUUCCACCACUGCACUCCAGCCUGGGUGACAGAGCAAGACCCUGUCUCAGAAAGAAAAAAAGAGUGGAUAGAGGGUUUGCCAUAUGGCUGAGAUGGAAGGGGAUUCCACGGAAGAAAACCACCCAGGAAACCCUCAGAACAGGAAGGAGCUGGGAAUGGUAGGGAAGACACCUUCAGUCUGCAGGAGGCAGCAAUGGGGGCGGCAUACGAUGAGACUUGUGCUCUUGGCAAAAGGACAUAGGUGAGGAGCUUAGAUUUACUCCUAAGGGCAAUAGGGAGACAUAGGAGAAUUUUAUUUUAUUUUAUUUUUUAUUUUUUAUUUUUUUGAGAUGGAGUCUUGCUC